rnacentral:rRNA from 1 species
GAUGAACGCUGGCGGCAGGCUUAACACAUGCAAGUCGCGGGGCAGCAUGGGGGUUGCUUGCGCCCGCGGGUGGCGAGCGGCGGACGGGUGAGUAACGCGUAUCCAACCUGCCCUUCACGACGGCUUAACCCGGCGAAAGUCGGCCGACUACCGAUUUUUGGCCAUUGACUGCGUCCGCGUUGGACUAGAGGGUUGGCGGGGUAAGGGCGGGGCUGCGCGCGAUUAGCUUGGCGGCGGGGGAACGUCCUACCGUGCACACGAUCGGUAGGGGUUCGGAGAGGAAGGUCCCUCACACUGGAGCUGGGACACGGUCCAGACUCCUAAGGGAGGCAGCAGUGAGGAAUAUUGGGCAAUGGACGUAAGCCUGAACCAGCCAAGGAGCGUGCAGGAUGGCGGCGCUGUGGGUUGUAAACUGCUUUUAGGCGGGGAUAGAGUGGCCCACGGGUGGGAUUUUGAAGGUACCGCAUGAAUAAGGACCGGCUAAUUCCGUG